UGCAAGUGAAUACACAUAGCCUGUACUGUAUGUGUCACUGCUACUUCAUUAUCACAAACUUUUUUCAGGAUAAGAGAAAUUGAGCCUAAUAGCUGUCAUAUCAUGUCUUUUAACACUCCACCCUCUUAUGCUGAAGGAAGCUACAAUCAUCGAAGUGGGAAGGAAUGUCUACCGAUGUUCUGAUUUAAGUGAAUGAAGGUCUUCUUUCCACCUCGGGAAAUCUUGAGGGUUAUGUAACAGCAGCUUUGAAAUGCUUGUACGAUGUACUUUGUGCUAGUCCAUCUCAAAUCUUCACCGGCUGUACCAAGAACAGAAAAAAAAAAAGGAAUUUGAGACGGGAUCUCAGCAUGUUGGCCAGGAUGGUCUCAAUCUCUUGACCUUGUGAUCCACCUACCUUGGCCUCCCAAAGUGUUGGAAUUACAGGUGUGAGCCACUGCGCCCAGCCAUCAGAACAAAAUAUACAGCUGGAUGUUUGUCACAAUUCUAAUGUCCCUGCAAAGAUGAGAUGCAUGAAUCACACAGCAAUCUCAUCAAAAAGCCGCAGCAACUUUGCUUUGUACCCUCUGUCUCCUGCCAAGAGAGCCCAGGGAAGGUAAUGUCUCCUGGAUCGUAUGAAAUGUUUCUGUAACGGUCACUGUAACUCACACCUUGAUUUUUACCAGGUCGCUGGCAAGUGCGAUGGAUUGUAAUUGCUGCACAUUCAUGAGGGCUUCUCAAGGUUACCCGGUGAGGGUUAAUGUUCAGUUCAUCCACCAGACUUAUGAGGCGGAAGAGAAAAUCUCUAUUAGUUAUUCUGCAGCAUUAACAAAAAAUUAGAGAACAUAGUCUGUGCUCUUAAAAGAAGCCUUGUUGUUCUCUGCUAAAAGGCAAGAGAUCACACACAGUAGGUCAUGAGUGUGUGUCACGUGGAGGGCUAAGGAGGAGCUUCCCUUUGAUAAUAAAACAAACAUUUAGCUUACCUAAGAGCUAUGCAGAGUGAGGACAAGAUGUCUCAUCUGCAAAACAAAAAUAAAUAAAGGCAGAUUUCUAAAAGGCACACAUCAUUCAGAAUUAAAUUAAUUCAAUUAAUUAUGAUGUUUUCAUACAAGUGGAACACAGCCCGGCUAGGAACAAAGAUUUUUCUUCCUUAUUUUAGGAACAAUGACCUAUUUUUCUGUGUUUGUGGGGCCUGUUUGGUGUGGGUUGUUUUUUCCUAAUUAUGUUCUCUUUUUGAGUUUUUCCCUGCCAGGGCACAGUGAAUACCAAAAGAAGAAUAAGACGGAGAGCUAUUCCUCAGUGAAGCAGAGUUUACAACCCUUGUUCAUUUUGGCCAAAGGCCAGCUGACUCUAGUUUACCUAACUUUUAGAGAGUUUCAGAAAAAAAAAUGGAAGUAAUAUCCUGCCUUUGAGUACGGAGACAAAAUUCUAAUAUCAUAAGAGAGUCAUCAGAGGUUAAGGCAGUUAGAAGGGUUCAUUCAUUCAACAUUCAACACAAACUGUGAACACCUAACAUUUGCCAUGUACAAAGAAGGAUGUUCUGCCUUGGACUAACAUCCAUUCCUGUGAGGGAAGAGAAGCAGCAGGCCUGGAUGAUGCCGCCGCUUGAAGAAGAAAAUCUUUCUCCUGCCAGAGUCCUGCUUAACCUUAGCUGGGGGAGGUGAUCUUUAACACUAACUAUUAAAGUUUGAGCCCAGAGACUGGUGCUAAUUCACCCUGACCAACCUCUCACACAGCCACAGAAUUCUCCCCUGCACACCAGGGCACCACCACUGGGAGCUGUUGGCAAUAAGGGAGUGGAGAAGGUACAACGUGAGAGGCCCUCAGUCAUCCACUCCUCUAGUCAGUAGCCUUCCACUCAUAGAUGGAUAAAAACAAGAGCCAUUUUUAGAUUCAGCAUUUCCUGGGGAGAACAACAAUUCCAGCCCCAAACUUCAGAUGUCAGCAGAGAACAGUGUGGGCUCUUUAUGUUCCUCAAGAACAUGCACACUGAGCUUCCCCCGCAGCCCCCGAGCACUGCCAGCUGCUGCUGCUGCGAUCCCAGUGUCUGAGUUUGUGACUCGCCAGGAGAUUGUCUGUUCCUGCUGCUUCCAAUAUCGUCUUGGCCUUUAUGAAGGCACAUGCACACAACUGUAGCGGCACACCUGUCUCCAGCCCAUUGUGGACAUGACUGCUCUUCCAGCGUGGCUCCCCUGUGACAGGCACCUGCUCAGCAACCUACAGAAGCUCCCCCAGAUAAGAAAAUUGAGACCCAGAGCAUUUAAGCAGCCAGCCUGGAGUCACAGAGAUUUAAGUCUCAGAGCCAACACUCAGGAUGAGUGCCAAUGGAAGCCUGUCCUUGGAGUCCAGAAUGAACAUCAGAAGCAACCCAGCCACAGCAUGAGACUGUCCAUGAAUGUCAUCUGGCUGAAC